rnacentral:misc_RNA from 1 species
CAGAGUUGCAAACUCCCAAACCAUUGUGAACGUUACCUUUACCGUUGCUUCGGCGGGCGGCCCGGGUCCUGCCCGGCGCCCCUCGGCCCUCGCGGGCGCCCGCCGGAGGUAAACCAAACUAUUGCAUUGUAUGGCCUCUCUGAGUCUUCUGUACUGAAUAAGUCA